UAUAAAACAAAACUAUUUAUUAAUAUAUUGACAUGAAUAUAUUUAAUCAUUCUAAUCCACGACCAAUUUUAGAUGUUUUCAUACCACAGUGCUCCCCAAAAGGUAGCUGGGCAAAAAAAUUUGCUCAAGAACAAAAAACUAAGACAGAAAGCGCGAAAGAGAAGGCAAGACAAUAGCUUUGUAAACGACAAGAGAAAGAAAAGAAAGUGGUGGAGAAGUAGGAGGAUGAGAGAACAGCACGUGAACUGAGAACUUGCGCACGAGAGAAAAACAACAGCAAAAUAAUAACAAAAGAAAAAUACACCACCCACGCAUUCACAAAAAACGCAUUGAACUUUGCUGAGCCAGAGAAAAGAUCAGAGAACAAUCUGAGAAAAAAUUAAGAGAAUAUCUUAAAAAAAUAAAAAAAUAUAUAUUGUUUUUAUAUUUCACAUUCUUUAAUCGUGCACAACUGCAAUCCGUUUGCCAGCAAAAAAAAAAACAACAACAAAGUUAUAGUGCAACUACAACUCAAGGCAAACCAUUUAGGCAGCGACGCCGGCAGAGCGUGGGCAGCGACGUAGGCAGAAGAGAAGACGGAAAUACCAGGCGAACGAUGACGAACGUAAAAACUACGCACCAAGCACAAAAACAACACCAAAACACGCCACGAAAAACAAACAAACAAGCAAGGAGAGCGAGCGAGAAAAAUAUACCAAGGGGGAGAGAAUGACUGAGAUGGCCGAUGGGAGUGGGAGAGCACCUGCCCCCAACUGUACCGCCCACUCGGCUAACGAGCAAACAAAACAAAACAAAAAUAAAUAGAAACCGAAACAGAAACACAAGGAAAGCAGCGAAAUAGAAAAGCAGGAAAUAUUUCGAACUUAUCAAGUGCGGGGGAGGGGAUAUAGAAGACUUACAGCUUUGCAUUUCUAUUAUUAAUUAGUUCCUACAAAAUGAACUCGAAAGUAUUAAACAAAGUAUGAAGAAUCGUAAAGAACAUUUUGAAGGACUUAUUCUACUUUUAUUCAUAAAAUA